ACCCGCCCAUCUUCCGGCCAGGAUGUGUGGUCCUGGUGAGCGAUUGUCCUGUGGCGUCCGGGACCGAGUUUGUGGCCCAGGGUUAUGUGUGCACUUCACACCUCUGACUUUUUUCAGGGUUCCUAUUGAUGGUUAGGAGCAGGAUUUCGGGGAUGAAGGCGGCAGCAGCAAGAGGAGGCUGCGACUGCGGACCCCAGAUUCGUCCCCCUCCACCACACACAACGCCAAGACGGGCCCCAGGAGGGCGUGAAGAGAAGACUUCCUUUCCUCUCCUCUCGCCUCCUGGCGCUGGCCGUAUGAAGGUGUCUCCCAGAAGCAUUAGCAGAGGAGCCCUGUGGGAGAAAUGAGGAGUGACCCAAAAGAAACUUGCUCAAGGACAGCCUCCUUAAAGCAGACUUCCAUAUACCCCAACCUGCAAAAGAAGACUUUACGUGAAAUGUUACAGCCCAUAACAGCUGCAGCCUUGACUAUUAAAUCUCAAAGGGAAUAAAAAAGUCGCCUGACAGUUAAAGCAGAGGACUACACUUGGGGCCAAGAAUAUGGGCUACUUCAUAUGGAAGAACUCCAGCAACCGGGAGGUAGCUCAUCAGAACGUUAGGCAUUUCUGCUACCAGGAGACACCUGGACCCUGUAAGGCUGUGAGCUGAUUCUGGGAACUUUGCCAUCAGUGGCUGAGGCCAGAGACCCACACCAAAGAACAGAUCCUGGAAUUGCUGGUGCUGGAGCAGUUCUUGACUAUCCUGCCAGAGGAGCUCCAAGCCCGGAUGUUAGAGCAUCAGCCGGAGAACAGAGAGGAAAUGGUGAUCAUAUCGGAGGAUUUGGAAAGAGAGCUUGAUGAAACAGAAUAUCGGGUGUGAUUAAAAGGCACAUGAACACCCUAGCCAGAGAAAGAAGCAGCCAUACAUCCAGGGAAGCAAGGUUGCAGAGCUCAAUCUCCACUCCCUCCCGCUUGAUAUGUAAGUCUCUAUGUUUCGUACUCUCAUCCUUUCUGGUUAGCUCCUUACUUCUUAAGGGUGGAAGAAGACUGUGUCAGCAUUCUUUCUCUAUUCUAUGCCCUGAGAUGUGUUCUCUAAGAUGUCUUUUAAAGAUAGUAACUGUGGUUCCAUCAUUGAGUCUUUCACAAGCCCAGCCAUAUCUAAUUGUUCCCAAGUUGCAGCCAGUGCAUAUGGAAUGGGACUGCACUCAGAAUAUCAUCAUCAAGCAGCACAGGAGCCACCAACUAUUCCUUUCCAGCCAAUGAAAAGACAGCUUAAAUGGGAAUAUCCAGAAUUCCAGGCCAUUCAUGAGCAAGGUGAGCAUCACAGUCCAUCUCGAGAGAAAGGGAGUGGUUGAAAGCUCUGCCAGCUACCCAGGCUGAACAGCAUCAGGAGCAUCUCAGACAUAAUCCACCAUGCUGAAUCAGAUGGAAGGUCCAUCUCCUGAAGUACUACAUUCCAGCUUAUGUGGCACCAACAAGACCUGAUGCAGAAUGGCGUAAUGCUGUCCUCCCUCAUAUCAGCCUCAGCAGGAAGUUGUACACCAGCUUCCGUAAUUUCCUUUAAAAAGCUAUUCUAGGCCACUGUCAUUAAAAAAAUACCUUUACUUUUUUGUAAUAUUUUCAUAAUAUAUAAUUUCAUAGCCCAACCUCUACUACACACUUAGUGCUUUCUCUGUAAAGUAGAAUUUACUUUUUUG
ensembl:lncRNA novel transcript